GAGUUCUUAGUAGGAAAUAUGGAAACAGGUGUUCAUCUUGUGCUAUGUAAAGUAUUGCUACCUAUGCCUGCAAUUUUCUGGAUGUUUACCUGGGAGUAAGCCUAUUGAAAACAAUGGGACAAUUAAGUCUCCGUAUAUGGAUGCAUACCUUGAUAUAAGUUACACUGAAGCAGUGCAUCUCCUACAGGAUGUGUUUUUCUUCUGAUGUCAUAGAGAAAAUGGCUUUGUGAAUAUUGAAUCCAGGACCUGAA
rnacentral:lncRNA from 1 species